AAGUUUUUUGUCACUUUGUAAGUGUUCAAUUUUAUGGAAUUGGGAAAGAAGUACCGAGUUUGAAGCGUUCAUGAGCAGACAUUGCAGUUUUGAAUUUGAUUAUUGAUGAAUAAUAAAAUAAAUCCUACUAGCUCGAUUGAUGGUUUCAUUUAAUUUAUUUAAACCAGGUUACCUAUAAUAUAAUCUUUUUUCGUUAAUUUAUGAAAAUAUCAAAUUAGCCCGUAAUUUCUGAAUCCUGACACAUAAAGUUAGCCUAUUAAUUUAACACAGGUACGACUGUACUCAGUGUUGCACUAUCAAAUGCAAUUGACGCGCCUCUAUGCCAGGGUUUUUAUGUUCCUGUAGGCCUAAGAUGCGCGCAUCGACAAUGACAUGAUAUGAUAAGACAAUUUUCGAUCACGUAGAUAAUUUUAUCAUUUUCCCUAACAUGGGACCAUCGAUAGAAAAGUCUAUCGACCGCUAUCGCGUGAUAACCGAAUUGUUGCCAUAUUAAGAAAAAAUUGCGUUAUUAUGUUGGCCAACCUUGAAAUAUUUUAGCUCAUUCGUUCAAUCUCGUUCAUUUCUGCUACUAAUUCGGCUAAAAACACAUAUCUUAGAGCAGUGAGAACGUCAUUAAAAAAAAGUUAUGUCAAUUUUGUUGACAUUACAUGACUGCUUGAUUGUAUUUGUUUGUGUUUUUAAAAUUGUAUUUUUAUGUUUCCAGUCUUAUUUUUAAUAUUUCUAAAGUACGGAAAAUAUCAAACGAAGAGAUAACCAAGUUAAAGAAAAACAAUGAAGAAUUCCUAAUCAUACCGAUAGUAUUAAAGAAUGAAGUCUUCAAAAUUAACAGAAUAACCGAACUCCACUACGUACCCCAUAAUGCGAGGUUUACAGUAAUUAUUCAACUUACAUGAAGCAGUCAGAAAGUUUAUUGAGAUUUGAGAAAUAAAGUUACACUCAUAAUUAGCAAAACAGUGGAUGAAGAAGUGUGGGAUUAUGAGUGAUUAUUUCAUUCUAAAGCAGACAUAAUCAAGUCUUGCUCACUAUCAUGAAAAUUUACAAUAACAAUCAGCAAGAAAAACUUCAAGGGUACUGGCUAGGCUAACCAAUUCAUGGAAUUCUGUUUGUAUUUGAAAUUAUAAAUAGCUAUUGUAAAACAAAAGUUUUCCAAAUAAAGAUUUUGUAAAUAA